rnacentral:rRNA from 1 species
AUGUUCUCCAUGCCUCCGCUCUACAUAUUAUCACUCGGGCUUCUCCUCUUCCACACUACUCUUUGGCCAUCCUUCUUUGUAGCUGCAAACAAUGAUACUCUCAUGGCAGGCCAAGUGCUCGCCGUUGGGGGCAGGAUCGCCUCAAGAAAUGCCAAGUUCGCGCUUGGCUUUUUUCAGUUCCAGCCAGCAAGCACCAUCAGUAAGUCGUCCUACAACACCACAUCUCCAAUCCCAAGCUUGUGGUACCUUGGCAUAUGGUUCAAUAAGAUCCCGGUUUGCACUUAUGUAUGGGUUGCUAAUAGGGAUCAGCCCAUCGCUGACCCCAUCAUCAACCAAACACGGUUCAAGAUAUCAAGUGAUGGCAAUCUUGUCAUUGUAAACCAUGCUGCCAACAAUGAAUCCAUUGUUUGGUCCACCCGCGUCGUAAAUAAUAGGACACACCUCAGCAGAAACAACACUAGUACCACCGUUCUCUUGAACAGCGGAAACCUUGCCCUCAAAGAGAGCCCGUCAUCUGACCUACCGGUGUGGCAGAGCUUCGACUACCCAACAGAUGUUAUACUUCCUGGUGCAAAGUUUGGCCGGAACAAGGUCACUGGUUUCAGUCACCAGGCCAUCUCAAUGAAGAGCCUCAUUGAUCCGGGACCUGGCUCAUACAGCUAUGAACUAGAACAGACCAAGGGGCUCGUCCUUAAGCGUCUCAAUCCCUUGGUAGAAUAUUGGCUUUAUGCAUCCUCCACAAAAUCAUCAUUCAAUCUUGUACCAAUGCUCAAGGCAGUGCUAGAUAUGGAUCCACGCACCAAAGGCUUGAUGAACCCAACAUAUGUCAAUAACGACCAAGAGGAGUACUACAUGUACACUUCACUUGAUGAGUCAUCUUCCUUUUUUAUCUUACUAGAUAUCUCUGGUCAAAUAAAGCUUAAUCUUUGGUCACAAGAUAAUCAAUCUUGGCAAACCAUAUAUGCCAUACCCGACGAUCCCUGCAUUCCUCCUGCUACUUGUGGACCUUACACGGUCUGCAAUGGCAAUCCACAUCCAUCAUGUGACUGUAUGAAGAGCUUCUCUCAGAAGUCACUGCAGGAUUGGGAAUUUGAGGACAGAACAGGAGGAUGCAUCAGAAAUACACCAUUACAUUGCACUAGUGACAGCAACAUCAUAAGUUCAACGGACAUGUUCCAUCCCAUUUCUCAAGUUACAUUGCCCUACAACCCGCAGAGCAUAGUCGUUACUUCGACUCAGAGCAAAUGCGAAGAAGCUUGUCUCAGUUCCUGCUCCUGCACUGCUUAUUCCUAUAACAAUAGCAGAUGCUAUGUCUGGAACGGGGAAUUGCGUAGUGUAAAUAUGAACAACGGCAUUACUAUCACUUCUAAAGAUGUUCUUUAUCUCCGUCUUUCUGCCAAAGAUUUCUUGCCAAGUUUGAGAAAAAAACAAAAAAAAGCCAAACGUUGGAGUUGUUAUUGCUACAAGCAUUACUGGGUUUGGGUUACUCAUUCUUCUGUGGUUGUUACUGAAUCGGAGGAAAAAAUUCAUGUGGUGUGGUCUGCUUCCAUUAUUCUAUGA